UGCAGAGGUGGCAAGCGUUGUUCGGAAUUACUGGGCGUAAAGGGCGCGUAGGCGGUCUUGCAAGUCCUGUGUGAAAUCCCUCGGCUCAACUGAGGAACUGCACAGGAAACUGCUUGGCUUGAGUUCGGGAGAGGGAAGCGGAAUUCCGGGUGUAGCGGUGAAAUGCGUAGAUAUCCGGAGGAACACCGGUGGCGAAGGCGACUUCCUGGACCGACACUGACGCUGAGGCGCGAAAGCUAGGGGAGCAAACAGG
rnacentral:rRNA from 1 species